AGAGUUUGAUCCUGGCUCAGGACGAACGCUGGCGGCGCGCCUAACACAUGCAAGUCGAACGGACGAGGAGGAGCUUGCUUCUCCAAGUCAGUGGCGGACGGGUGAGUAACGCGUGAGUAACCUGCCCUUCAGAGGGGGAUAACGUCUGGAAACGGACGCUAAUACCGCAUGACAUAUUUCCAUCGCAUGGUGGAGAUAUCAAAGGAGCAAUCCGCUGAAGGAUGGACUCGCGUCCGAUUAGAUAGUUGGCGGGGUAACGGCCCACCAAGUCGACGAUCGGUAGCCGGACUGAGAGGUUGAACGGCCACAUUGGGACUGAGACACGGCCCAGACUCCUACGGGAGGCAGCAGUGGGGAAUAUUGCACAAUGGGGGAAACCCUGAUGCAGCGACGCCGCGUGGAGGAAGAAGGUCUUCGGAUUGUAAACUCCUGUUGUUGAGGAAGAUAAUGACGGUACUCAACAAGGAAGUGACGGCUAACUACGUGCCAGCAGCCGCGGUAAAACGUAGGUCACAAGCGUUGUCCGGAAUUACUGGGUGUAAAGGGAGCGCAGGCGGGAGAACAAGUUGGAAGUGAAAUCCAUGGGCUCAACCCAUGAACUGCUUUCAAAACUGUUUUUCUUGAGUAGUGCAGAGGUAGGCGGAAUUCCCGGUGUAGCGGUGGAAUGCGUAGAUAUCGGGAGGAACACCAGUGGCGAAGGCGGCCUACUGGGCACCAACUGACGCUGAGGCUCGAAAGUGUGGGUAGCAAACAGGAUUAGAUACCCUGGUAGUCCACACCGUAAACGAUGAUUACUAGGUGUUGGAGGAUUGACCCCUUCAGUGCCGCAGUUAACACAAUAAGUAAUCCACCUGGGGAGUACGACCGCAAGGUUGAAACUCAAAGGAAUUGACGGGGGCCCGCACAAGCGGUGGAGUAUGUGGUUUAAUUCGAAGCAACGCGAAGAACCUUACCAGGGCUUGACAUCCCGGUGACCGGUGUAGAGAUACACCUUCUUCUUCGGAAGCGCCGGUGACAGGUGGUGCAUGGUUGUCGUCAGCUCGUGUCGUGAGAUGUUGGGUUAAGUCCCGCAACGAGCGCAGCCCUUAUUGUUAGUUGCUACGCAAGAGCACUCUAGCGAGACUGCCGUUGACAAAACGGAGGAAGGUGGGGACGACGUCAAAUCAUCAUGCCCCUUAUGUCCUGGGCCACACACGUACUACAAUGGUGGUCAACAGAGGGAAGCAAGACCGCGAGGUGGAGCAAACCCCUAAAAGCCAUCCCAGUUCGGAUUGCAGGCUGCAACUCGCCUGUAUGAAGUUGGAAUCGCUAGUAAUCGCGGAUCAGCAUGCCGCGGUGAAUACGUUCCCGGGCCUUGCACACACCGCCCGUCA
rnacentral:rRNA from 1 species